rnacentral:rRNA from 1 species
AUUGAACGCUGGCGGUAUGCUUUACACAUGCAAGUCGAACGGUAGAGGGGCAACCCUUGAGAGUGGCGAACGGGUGAGUAAUACAUCGGAACGUGCCCAGUCGUGGGGGAUAACGUAGCGAAAGCUACGCUAAUACCGCAUACGACCUGAGGGUGAAAGCGGGGGACUCGCAAGGACCUCGCGCGAUUGGAGCGGCCGAUGGCAGAUUAGGUAGUUGGUGAGGUAAAGGCUCACCAAGCCGACGAUCUGUAGCUGGUCUGAGAGGACGACCAGCCACACUGGGACUGAGACACGGCCCAGACUCCUACGGGAGGCAGCAGUGGGGAAUUUUGGACAAUGGGCGCAAGCCUGAUCCAGCCAUACCGCGCGCAGGAAGAAGGCCUUCGGGUUGUAAACUGCUUUUGUCAGGGAAGAAAUCUUCUGGGCUAAUACCCUGGGAGGAUGACGGUACCUGAAGAAUAAGCACCGGCUAACUACGUGCCAGCCGCCGCAGUAAAAC